UACGGAGGGUGCGAGCGUUGUUCGGAAUCACUGGGCGUAAAGAGUGCGUAGGCGGUUAUGAAAGUUAGAAGUGAAAGCCCAGGGCUCAACCUUGGAAUUGCUUUUAAAAACUACAUAACUCGAAUUCGGGAGAGGAUAGCGGAAUUGUCAGUGUAGCAGUGAAAUGCGUAGAUAUUGACAGGAACACCGGUGGCGUAAGCGGCUAUCUGGACCGACAUUGACGCUGAGGCACGAAAGCGUGGGGAUCAAACAGG
rnacentral:rRNA from 1 species